UACGUAGGGCGCAAGCGUUGUCCGGAAUUAUUGGGCGUAAAGAGCUCGUAGGCGGCCUGUUGCGUCCGCUGUGAAAUCCCGGGGCUUAACCCCGGUUCUGCUUCCGGUACGGGCAUGCUGGAGUGUGGCAGGGGAGACUGGAAUUCCUGGUGUAGCGGUGGAAUGCGCAGAUAUCAGGAGGAACACCGGUGGCGAAGGCGGGUCUCUGGGCCAUUACUGACGCUGAGGAGCGAAAAGCGUGGGGGAGCGAACAGG
rnacentral:rRNA from 1 species